rnacentral:rRNA from 1 species
AUUGAACGCUGGCGGCAGGCCUAACACAUGCAAGUCGAACGAGUGGCGGACGGGUGAGUAAUGUCUGGGAAACUGCCCGAUGGCGGGGGAUAACUACUGGAAACGGUAGCUAAUACCGCAUACCAUCGGAUCGGCCCAGAGGGGAUUAGCUAGUUGGUGGGGUAAAGGCUCACCGAGGCGACGAUCCCUAGCUGGUCUGAGAGGAUGACCAGCCACACUGGAACUGAGACACGGUCCAGAAUCCUACGGGAGGCAGCAGUGGGGAAUUUUGCACAAUGGGGGAAACCCGGAUGCAGCCAUGCCGCGUGUAUGAUGAAGGCCUUCGGGUUGUAAAGUACUUUCAGCGGGGAGGCGUUACUCGCAGAAGAAGCACCGGCUAACUCCGUGCCAGCAGCCGCGGUAAUAC